UACGUAGGGACCGAGCGUUGUCCGGAAUCAUUGGGCGUAAAGAGCGUGUAGGCGGCCACUUAAGUCCUGCGUGAAAUCUUGCGGCUCAACCGCAAGCGGUCGUGGGAAACUGGGUGGCUAGAGUGCGGGAGAGGAGAGUGGAAUUCCUGGUGUAGCGGUGGAAUGCGCAGAUAUCAGGAAGAACACCCGUGGCGAAGGCGGCUCUCUGGGCAGUGGCUGACGCUGAAGCGCGACAGCGUGGGGAGCAAACAGG
rnacentral:rRNA from 1 species